rnacentral:lncRNA from 1 species
AGUUCAUAGGCCCACACGUUCUCGCGGUCCAGGGCGCUGUCCAGCACCAACGAGUAGUAAUUCUUGAAGGUGGACACCAGCUUGAAGGGAACGUGGGGCGUCAGCGAGCAGGUCACCUGUCCGUUGACACCUGAGUCACGGUCAGACACGCUGAUCAGGGCAAUGACCGUGCUGGGCUGAGCGUCCUCUCGUACUGGGAGGGACAAGGAAGUCACGGCGACUUCAGGAGAGUUAUCGUUGGUGUCCAAGAUUUCCACCCAGACUGUACAGUGACCUGCCAUUGGGGGAGUCCCCUUAUCUGUAGCCUGUACUUCAAUUUUAUAAAACUUGUUUUCUUCAUAAUCUAAAGUUCCAUUGACCCUCACUUCUCCAUUAUUUUGAUCUAGUGUAAAUAAGUGUCUUCCAUUGGGCUUAAUUGACAUUAAGGAGUAUGUUACCUCUCCAUUGACUCCUUCGUCUCGGUCUGUGGCGUUUAGUUUGAGCACAAGAGUUUCUUUAGCAGCAUUUUCCAUAAGGCUCACCUUAUAUUCUGAUUUAUCAAACUCUGGAUCAUUGUCGUUGACAUCCAAGACUUGGACUAACAGCCGAACGGUGCCAGUAAGCUCUGGUUUUCCCCCGUCUGUAGCUGUUAGCAGCAAAUUAAGUUCCGGAGUUUUCUCUCUAUCCAGAGACUUCUUUAAAAUAAGUGACAGUCUUUUAAUCUGCUUACCAUUUGUUGGUGAAUCUAAAGAAAAAUACUCAUUUUUACUUAGCCUGUAGGUCAAUAGAGCAUUCUCUUCAAUGUCAGCAUCAGAAGCUCCCUCUAGUGGAAAACGCGAGUCCGAUUGCUUAGAUUCCGCAAUCAGCAGCUUUUGUUCUCUGAGCGAGAACACCGGCGGGUUGUCGUUAAUGUCCUUCACCUCCACGUUCACAUGGAAAACCUGCAGCGGCCUGUCCACGAUCACCUCCAGGUGGAUGCUGCACUCCGCGCUCUGCCCGCACAGCUCCUCGCGGUCGAUCCGAGAAUUCACAAACAAAAUGCCAUUCUGCAGAUUUACCUCCAGAAGGUCCCCAUGUGUUUUGGACGCCACCCGGAACAGGCGCUGCACCAGCUCCGCCAGCUCCAGCCCCAGGUCCUGCGCGAUGCGGCCCACGAAGGUGCCGUGUUUGGCCUCCUCCGAGACGGAGUAGUGGAGCUGGCCGCUCCCCACCUCCCAGAAUUCGAGGAGGAGAAGCCAGAGCUGUAGUCGUGGGGUGCCCAAUCCCCUUCUCUGAAAACCAAACAUCGCAUACGAAAUUGGCUUCCAAAAUAAGCUUCUUUACACUUACAGUACCAGAUUCUUCAGUUUCAGGUUAAAAAUCUCGUUGAAUUCUUAAGAAGUUUCAAAGGAUCCUUAAACGGUGGCAUCCGGUAUGAUGGAGUUCCUUUGUAUGGGAGUGCCUCACUGUUCAGACCAACCUUUAAAUGAACUUUCCACCAAGUAAAGAGCGACACCUUGCGCCUAAAACUGUAAAAUAUUCAGUGGAAUCAAGACUGUAAGUCAACAACGAAUUUGUUCCGAUAUCUGCAUCUGAUGCGCCCUCUAGCGAAAACCGAGAGCCAGGCUGUCGGGAUUCGGAAAUAAACAGAUUCUUUACAGCCAUUGGAAAAACUGGCGCGUUGUCAUUAAUGUCCUUCACUUCCACCUCCACAUGGAAAACCUGCAGCGGCCUGUCCACGAUCACCUCCAGGUGGAUGCUGCACUCCGCGCUCCGCCCGCACAGUUCCUCGCGGUCUAUCCGAGAAUUCACAAACAAAAUGCCAUUCUGCAGAUUUACCUCCAGAAGGUCCCCGUGUCUUUUGGACGCCACCCGGAACAGGCGCGGCACCAGCUCCGCCAGCUCCAGCCCCAGGUCCUGCGCGAUGCGGCCCACGAAGGUGCCAUGCUUGGCCUCCUCAGAGACGGAGUAGUGGAGCUGGCCGCUCCCCACCUCCGAGGCUGCGAGGAGCAGAAGAGAAAGCAGCAGGCACUGGGCUCCAGGAUCUUCUCGCCAGGAGAACAACAUUAGAGGAUGAAGCAAAGCAGUAUCUGAAUACGUAAUGCACGCUGUUAUUUCUUUUGUGGAGAAAGACCUUGUGGUGGACAGCGACAUCAUGUGGCUAAACGUGUAAGUAUUAAAUAUGUAAACGUAUCUUCUUUUCCUUGUAUGUCGUUUGAACUUUCCCAAAAUUUCUAGUUUCAAUUGUAAUAUCCUUCGGUCACUCCUCAAAGUCCUUAUAUUUUAUCUAAAUAUUUCCUUAGAACUUUUAUACUAAUUCACUAUCAAUUGUGCUAAUUCAUGACAUACACUAAAAUAUUGUGAUUCCUGUUUUAACAGUGGACAUCUAUUGGAAAUAUUUCCCAUGUGACAGCCACUUUUCUAUUUGUCUUAAUGGAAUUAUCCCGUUAAAUUAUCACAAUCCUCUGAAAUAAGUUUUAAUAUUAUUCGCUUUUUAUAAACACAUAGAGGUUAAGUAAAACGAUAUUAUCUCUUGGUACGAUGGGAUUUCAAUCUGAUUCAAGACAACUUACCAUUAACCUCUUUACCACCCAAGUUACAUUUUAUAGAAAAAUCAGAUCCUUUCAGAUUUAUGAUCAUCAAAACAUUGAGAUGUUGAAGUAUUUAAAAGUGUGUGUGUGCUGUAUAUAUUAAAACAUACAUAUAUCUACUUUUAUGUUAUUACAGCAACUGUUAAUUUCUUAAAAUAUGUACAUUUAUGGUUUUUUAAAUUUGUAGAAUGUCUGUAAUUCCCUCCCAUGCCCCUUUUUCAAGAACUAUAGCCUCAUCAACUGUCUUGACUGUAACUUACAUAAAGAUUUCAGAAGUCGGUCCUUUACAGAGAAAUUCAAACAGGAAAUUUGUUUCCUAUUGUGGGAAUGUGAUUUGUAUAUUUGUUACACUCACAUCACAUCAAUUAAGAAUAUAUUAGGUUUAAUUUUUCCACACUCUUUAUGUAUUUGAAUUUACCUGUAUAUACUAAAAUGUUAACAAUAUAAAGUAAUUACGUUUUUGAUGAUCUCC